UCUUGAAACUUGCAUUUUCCAGGCAUCACGUUUCAGCGGUUUCAGUCUAUUUUUGCAGUGUUUCACGGUGUG